GGGGUGACUAAUACCGUGGAGUAACCGCCCCUGUCUUUGGGAUAACCCUGGGAACCUGGGUCUUAAUACCCGGAUAUUUCUGCUUCCAUCCCAUGUUGGGGCUUGGAAAAGGGUUUCUGGAUAGGAUGGGCCUUCACGGCCUAUCAGCUUUUUUGAUUGGGUUAUGGCCUACCAAGGCUUCGACGGGUACCGGCCUGAGAGGGUGACCGGCCACAUUGGGACUGAGAUACGGCCCAGACUCCUACGGGAGCCACAGUGGGGAAUAUCGCACAAUGGACGCAAGUCUGAUGCAGCGACGCCGCUGGGGGAUGAAGGCUUUCGGGUUGUAAACUCCUUUCAGUACAGAACAAGGCCUUUUUGGUUGAGGGUAUGUGCAGAAGAAGCGCCGGCUAACUACGUGCCAGCAGCCCGGUAAUACGUAGGGCGCGAGCGUUGUCCGGAAUUAUUGGGCGUAAAGAGCUCGUAGCGGUUUGUUGCGCCUGCUGUGAAAGACCGGGGCUUAACUUCGGGGUUGCAGUGGGUACGGGCAGACUAGAGUGUGGUAGGGGUAAUUGGAAUUCCUGGUGUAGCGGUGGAAUGCGCAGAUAUCAGGAGGAACACCGAUGGCGAAGGCAGGUUACUGGGCCACCACUGACGCUGAGGAGCGAAAGCGUGGGUAGCGAACAGGAUUAGAUACCCUGGUAGUCCACGCCGUAAACGUUGGGCACUAGGUGUGGGGCCUUUUCCACGGGUUCUGCGCCGUAGCUAACGCAUUAAGUGCCCCGCCUGGGGAGUACGCCGCAAGGCUA
rnacentral:rRNA from 1 species